rnacentral:rRNA from 1 species
UACGGGGGGAGCAAGCGUUGUUCGGAUUUACUGGGCGUAAAGGGCGCGUAGGCGGUCGUGACAAGUCACUUGUGAAAUCUCCGGGCUUAACUCGGAACGGUCAAGUGAUACUGUCGGACUAGAGUACAGAAGGGGCAACUGGAAUUCUCGGUGUAGCGGUGAAAUGCGUAGAUAUCGAGAGGAACACCUGCGGCGAAGGCGGAUCUCUGGGCCGAUACUGACGCUGAGGAGCGAAAGCGUGGGGAGCGAACAGG